rnacentral:rRNA from 1 species
AUUGAACGCUGGCGGCAGGCUUAACACAUGCAAGUCGAGCGGGCGAGGUUGCUUCGGUAACUGAGCUAGCGGCGGACGGGUGAGUAAUGCUUAGGAAUCUGCCUAUUAGUGGGGGACAACAUUCCGAAAGGAAUGCUAAUACCGCAUACGCCCUACGGGGGAAAGCAGGGGAUCUUCGGACCUUGCGCUAAUAGACGAGCCUAAGUCAGAGUUAGCUAGUUGGUGGGGUAAAGGCCUACCAAGGCGACGAUCUGUAGCGGGUCUGAGAGGAUGAUCCGCCACACUGGGACUGAGACACGGCCCAGACUCCUACGGGAGGCAGCAGUGGGGAAUAUUGGACAAUGGGCGCAAGCCUGAUCCAGCCAUGCCGCGUGUGUGAAGAAGGCCUUUUGGUUGUAAAGCACUUUAAGCGAGGAGGAGGCUACCGAGAUUAAUACUCUUGGAUAGUGGACGUUACUCGCAGAAUAAGCACCGGCUAACUCUGUGCCAGCAGCCGCCGUAA